GUAGGUGGCAAGCGUUGUCCGGAAUUAUUGGGCGUAAAGCGCGCGCAGGCGGCUCGUUUAAGUCUGAUGUGAAAGCCCACGGGCUCAACCGUGGAGGGUCAUUGGAAACUGGAGAACUUGAGUACAGAAGAGGAAAGCGGAAUUCCACGUGUAGCGGUGAAAUGCGUAGAGAUGUGGAGGAACACCAGUGGCGAAGGCGGCUUUCUGGUCUGUAACUGACGCUGAGGCGCGAAAGCGUGGGGAGCAAACAGGAUUAGAUACCCUGGUAGUCCACGCCGUAAACGAUGAGUGCUAAGUGUUAGGGGGUUUCCGCCCCUUAGUGCUGCAGCUAACGCAUUAAGCACUCCACCUAAAAAAUACGACCGCAAAGGCUG
rnacentral:rRNA from 1 species